rnacentral:rRNA from 1 species
CCAGACUCCUACGGGAGGCAGCAGUGGGGAAUAUUGCACAAUGGGGGAAACCCUGAUGCAGCGACGCCGCGUGAGCGAUGAAGUAUUUCGGUAUGUAAAGCUCUACCAGCAGGGAAGAAAAUGACGGUACCUGACUAAGAAGCCCCGGCUAACUACGUGCCAGCAGCCGCGGUAAUACGUAGGGGGCAAGCGUUAUCCGGAUUUACUGGGUGUAAAGGGAGCGUAGACGGCCAUUCAAGCCAGAUGUGAAAGCCCGGGGCUCAACUCCGGGACUGCAUUUGGAACUGUGGGGCUAGAGUGUCGGAGAGGCAGGCGGAAUUCCUAGUGUAGCGGUGAAAUGCGUAGAUAUUAGGGGGAACACCAGUGGCGAAGGCGGCCUGCUGGACGAUGACUGACGUUGAGGCUCGAAAGCGUGGGGAGCAAACAGGAUUAGAUACCCGUGUAC